UCCUCCCACUUACAAUUAUAAAAAGCAAGACUUCUGCACUUCUCCAAGCACUGAACUAGGGAAAGAAAAUAAGCUAGGGAAAGAAAAUACAAACCCUAAGAUGCUUCCUCAAGUCAAGAUUUGCAUCAUACUCCUCUUGCUCUUCAACUUUUCGGUUUCGGGCACAGCUGACAGCUUCAAGGAUGGAAUGGAGCUCACUUACUCAAGUGGUCCUGAGCUUGAGGUGGUUAAUCCGCAGAAGAUAAAAGCUGGGAGAAAGCUGCUCAUUUCACUUGAUGCAAUGUUGGAUUACCAUGAGCCAGGGCCAAAUCCAGGUCACGAACCACAUAAAGGAGGGAAUGCUGGUGGUAGAGGUGGGAAUCCCUGAAUAACUAGAUGAUCGCCUCCUUUUAUUAGAAGCCGUAUGAUCUCUUGUGAAAACCCUAGAGUGAGUGUGUGUGAGAGAGAGAGUGAUGAUGCACGUGUUUCUUAUGAACUAGUGAUAUGGAGUGAGAUUGUUUUAUAUAUUUGGGUGUGGAACUGUGAAUUACCGUGAUGAAUGUAUAAAUUAUUGGAAUAAAAUGUUAGAAACUCAGUAAUAUAUAUAUGCUUGCAAGUA